AGAAUCAACGCUGGCGGCGUGCCUAACACAUGCAAGUCGAACGAGAAAGUGGGAGCAAUCCCAUUAGUAAAGUGGCGCACGGGUGAGUAACACGUGACUAACCUACCCUUGAGUGGGGGAUAACCUAGGGAAACCUGGGCUAAUACCGCAUAAUACCUACGGGUCAAAGGAGCAAUUCGCUUUAGGAGGGGGUCGCGGCAGAUUAGUUAGUUGGCGGGGUAAUGGCCCACCAAGACAGUGAUCUGUAUCCGGCCUGAGAGGGCGCACGGACACACUGGAACUGAAACACGGUCCAGACUCCUACGGGAGGCAGCAGUGGGAAUUUGCGCAAUGGGGGAAACCCUGACGCAGCAACGCCGCGUGGAGGAUGAAGCCCCUUGGGGCGUAAACUCCUUUCGAUCGGGAAGAUAAUGACGGUACCGGAAGAGAAGCCCCGGCUAACUUCGCGCCAGCAGCCGC
rnacentral:rRNA from 1 species